GAAGGGGGGAGAGAAAAAGAAAGACAGAAAGAAAGAGGGAAGGAGGGAGGGGAGAGAUAAGAACAAAGAAGAGCGGGCUAGAGGGUGACAAAGAGAGAAUCUCUGUACUGUUGAAGUUGGGCUGGAAGUGGCGGGGGGGAACUCCUGUGGUUGUAGAACCUUUUGGAUGCUGAAGACUUGCUUAGCAGAAGAGUUAAAACAGUAAGAAGGAAGGAGCCUGGUGAUGCAAACAAUUCAGCACUCAGCUGGUAACCAAAAGGUUGGCAGUUAAACCCACAUGGCGGCGGCACAGGAGAAAAGACCUGCUGACCUGCAAGGGGUUCAUGACAACGUCAGACUCUCUACUAGAGCCAAGACCCUGAUUUGGACUUCUAGCCUCCAAAACUGUGAGACGAUUAUUUCCUGUGCUAAAUAGGUUCAGCGAGGGAGACACUCUCAAGGCCAAAAUGCUGUAUGUGCGUGCAUUCUCC